rnacentral:rRNA from 1 species
CUUGGUAUUCCAGAGGGCAUGCCUGUUUGAGUAUCAUGAACACCUCAACUCUCACGGUCCGCCGUGAUGAGCUUGGACUUUGGGGGUCUUGCUGGGCCUGCGGUCGGCUCCUCUCAAAUGAAUCAGCUUGCCAGUGUUUGGUGGCAUCACGGGUGUGAUAACUAUCUACGCUUGUGGUUUUCACCAGGUAACCUUCAGCAAUGGAGGUUCGCUGGGGCUCACAAAUGUCUCUCCUCAGUGAGGACAACUUCUUGAAUGUUUGAUCUCAAAUCAGGUAGGGCUACCCGCUGAACUUAAGCAUAUCAAUAAGCGG